rnacentral:lncRNA from 1 species
CUGCACCCCGAUGUUUCUAGCAGCAAUGUCCACAAUAGCCAAACUGUGGAAAGAACCUCGGUGUCCAUCGAAAUAAAUGGAUAAAGGAGAUGUGGUUUAUGUAUGCAAUGGAAUAUUACUCAGCUAAUAGAAAUGACAAAUACCCACCAUUUUCUUUGAUGUGGAUGGAACUGGAGGGUAUUAUGCUGAGUGAAAUGAGUCAAUCGGAGAAGCACAAACAUUAUAUGUUCUCAUUCAUGUGGGGAAUAUAAAUAAUAGUGAAAGGGAAUAGAAGGGAAGGGAGAAGAAAUGGGUAGGAAAUAUCAGAAAGGGAGACAGAACAUAAAGACUCCUAACUCUUGGAAACGAACUAGGGGUGGUGGUAGGGGAGGAGGCAGGGGGGUGAGAUGAAUGGGUGAUGGGCACUGAGGGGGGCACUUGAUGGGAUGAGCACUGGGUGUUAUUCUGUAUGUUGGCAAAUAAAUAAAAUAAAAUUACUGUAAAAUCUAUUGAUAGAAAAAGAAUUACUGUCUUUUGUGCAUGGCAUAAUAGCUGUUUUCAUAUAAAAAAUGAAUGUGUCUAAAUCAGAGACUGAAUAGGUAUGCACAUAUCAUCUGCCUAGAUAUCUAGUUAUCCCUAGAUAACUCCCUGGGGAAAACAGCUCCUUGGAGAGGAAUCCCAGACCCUGACAGGAAACCUGCCCAGAACCUCCAUCUGCACCUGCUCCUGGGCCUUCAAGACACAAGUGGUGAGGAGGGUGCACCCCCUGGUGGUCCUGAUCCCCUUAACAGAGAGGUUUCUGUCUGGGCUCACACUGAGGUUGACUCACUGUGUCCUUCGCACAGUAAUACACGGCUGUGUCCUCAGCUCUCAGGCUGUUCAUCUGCAGAUACAGCGUGUUCUUGGCAUUGUCUCUGGAGAUGGUGAAUCGGCCCUUCACAGUGUCUGCGGAGCCUGUGCUACUUCCACUACUGCUAAUAACUGCUACCCACUUCAGCCCCUUCCCUGGAGCCUGGCGGACCCAGCUCUUGGCAUGGCUACUGAAGGUGAAUCCGGAGGCCACACAAGAGAGUCUCAGGGAUCCCCCAGGCUUCACCAGCUCAUGAAGGUGAAUCCAGAGGCCACACAGGAGAGUCUCAGGGACCCCCCAGGCUUAACCGGGUCUUCCCCAGACUCCACCAGCUGCUCCUCACCCUGGACACCUGCAGACACAAAACAUCCUGGUCAAACAACUGUCCCACAUCCCCUGUUUAUCUCACUCACUUCCACUCACAGACUCAAGGUCUCUGGUUCUCUUUGAAUUACCUUUUAAAAAUAGCGAAAAGGAAAACCCAGCAUAGGACAGACUCCAUGAUGGUUUGACUGUGUUGUGUCCUGAUUCCUGAAUCGGGUCAUCUUGGGAUCCUGGUGCUGGGGCUCCUCUCCCAG